AGCUUUGCGCAGUGGCAGUAUCGUAGCCAAUGAGGUUUAUCCGAGGCACGAUUAUUGCUAAUUGAAAACUAUUAAUAGUGAAAUGGGAGCAGUUUCUUUGCUUGAAAACUAUUAGAGUUAGUGAUAAUGUUUUGGAGAAGCAUUUUCUU
rnacentral:snRNA from 1 species